rnacentral:rRNA from 1 species
UACGUAGGCAGCAAGCGUUGUUCGGAAUUACUGGGCGUAAAGAGUGUGUAGGCGGUGCUCUAAGUCUGUUGUGAAAUCUCCCGGCUCAACUGGGAGGGUGCGCCGAAUACUGAAAGACUUCGAGUGCGGGAGAGGAAAGUGGAAUUCCUGGUGUAGCGGUGAAAUGCGUAGAUAUCAGGAGGAACACUGGUGGUGUAGACGGCUUUCUGGACCGUAACUGACGCUGAGACACGAAAGCGUGGGUAGCAAACAGG